AGCAGAUGCGGUUGCGGUUGUGGG
rnacentral:siRNA from 1 species